UACGUAGGGGGCAAGCGUUGUCCGGAUUUACUGGGCGUAAAGCGCGUGUAGGCGGCUACGCAGGUCCGUUGUGAAAACUGGAGGCUCAACCUCCAGACGUCGACGGAAACCGUGUGGCUAGAGUCCGGAAGAGGAGAGGUGGAAUUCCUGGUGGUAGCGGUGAAAUGCGCAGAUAUCAGGAAGAACACCAAUGGCGAAGCAGCUCUCUGGGAGCGGUACUGACGCUGACACGC
rnacentral:rRNA from 1 species